UGAGGGCAAGAGUUAAAUUACAGCUGUGAC
rnacentral:piRNA from 1 species